CACUUGGCACUGAGGACCCUCUUCGCAUAUGACAACCCCUCCUAUGCAGCCCGAAGCUCUGUCCCUACAACUGUGAGUCCCGGUGUGUGCUGAGCUCCGGCUGCCACCAGCCUACCCCAGAAAUCUCUGAUCACAAAUCCAACACCCCCAGAGAUACCAUCCACCGACAUACUUCCAUUGAAAUUCACUUUGAGAUGAUCAAGGGGGUGGGGGCACCCAAGAAACGAGGGCGAAUUUGGGCGCUGUGACAGCGGAUAGAGUACCCCAAAUGUCCCUAACUAUCUCAGCAGUGAACAACGCGGAAGCUGCAGUAACCUCCCCCGACUGCAGUAUAGCUCUAUCAACCACCAUCCUCGGUGAUAGCCUCCUACCCUCAAA
rnacentral:lncRNA from 1 species